GACGAACGCUGGCGGCGUGCUUAACACAUGCAAGUCGAACGGAAAGGCCCUGCUUUUGCGGGGUGCUCGAGUGGCGAACGGGGGAGUAACACGUGAGUAACCUGCCCUUGACUUUGGGAUAACUUCAGGAAACUGGGGCUAAUACCGGAUAGGAGCUCCUGCUGCACGGUGGGGGUUGGAAAGUUUCGGCGGUUGGGGAUGGACUCGCGGCUUAUCAGCUUGUUGGUGGGGUAGUGGCGUACCAAGGCUUUGACGGGUAGCCGGCCUGAGAGGGUGACCGGCCACCUUGGGACUGCGAUACGGCCCAGACUCGUACGGGAGGCAGCAGUGGGGAAUAUUGCACAGUGGGCGGAAGCCUGAUGCAGCAACGCCGCGUGCGGGAUGACGGCCUUCGAGUUGUAAACCGCUUUGGCCUGUGACGAAGCGUGAGUGACGGUAAUGGGUAAAGAAGCACCGGCUAACUACGUG
rnacentral:rRNA from 1 species